rfam:Streptomyces sp. NRRL B-3648 P438contig14.1, whole genome shotgun sequence.
CGAACGGGCCGUGACUGGCGCGCUGGGAUGGGACGGACCAUCAGGGAGCGGCCCGAGCGGGAAGAGUGCCGUGCGCCUGGGCCGAACGU